rnacentral:rRNA from 1 species
UACAGAGGGGGCAAGCGUUAUUCGGAAUUAUUGGGCGUAAAGGGCGCGUAGGCGGCCUGGCAAGUGGAAGGUGAAAUCCCUCGGCUUAACCGAGGAACUGCCCUCCAAACUGCUUGGCUUGAGUCCGGGAGAGGUGAGUGGAAUUCCCAGUGUAGCGGUGAAAUGCGUAGAUAUUGGGAGGAACACCAGUGGCGAAGGCAGGUCUCUGGGCAUUAACUGACGCUGAGGAGCGAAAGCAUGGGGAGCGAACAGG